CUUUGUGCUUUAACCUAGAAGAUGGAUGCCAAAGCCAAAGUGAACAAGCUUUAGCUACAAAAGACAGCUGUCAAAUACAAUGCCAAUGGCUACAAAAGGACAGCAGGAUCAAGACUUGAUUUCGGCAGAGACGAUGAACAUGAGUUCAGGGAUAGUGUACCUGAUCCACAAAACAGAACUCGUGAAGAGAGCACGGAAACCUUUGUAUCCCACGCCAGAGAAUCAAAGGACUUUUACCAGAGAUGCCAGAGCCAUUAACAGAAGUGAAAAUCCCUCAAACAGAUACUUAUGAAAAGCCAACUAUUUAUGAACACAGCAGAGGCACUUUUCAAACUCAACAUCCCUAUAAGCAUUCUUCAUGCAAACAGUCACAACUAUCACAACCAAGACAGCAAGCUAGUUUUAGACUGUGGCUACGAAGUAAUGAAAAGGAAAGGAAGAAGGCAGGAAGUAGUGUUCACCCAUUUCUA